rnacentral:tmRNA from 1 species
CCCCUUUUCGCCGGGCCUCGGGGCGCCUAUAUCGGGGGUGCCGGGUUCGCCCGGCUAUGGUGAUAAAUGAUGUCGUGAAAUAGAUGCAGCGGACCCGGGGGCAGUACCCGGCGGCUCCACCAUCAUCGGCGGCGGGCCUCCCCGAUCCCUAGGGGGGAGAAGCCGCCGAUCCUGAUGGGGCCGAACCAGGAUCGACGUGUAUUCAAAGACGACGUUUUUGCCCGGCCUGAUUGAGCCGUUAAACCGAUCAAAACCACAAGUGCCAACGACAACGAGGCGCUCGCGAUUGCCGCGUAAUCAAGGCCUAACGGCUUAGAUUACAAGGCUUGAACGCGGUUCGGGCCGCACCGGGCAACAGAAGCGGACACC